rnacentral:rRNA from 1 species
UACGUAGGUGGCAAGCGUUGUCCGGAUCUACUGGGCGUAAAGAGCGCGCAGGCGGUCGUUCAAGUCGCGUGUGAAAGCCCCCGGCUCAACUGGGGAGGGUCACGCGAUACUGAUCGACUCGAAGGCAGGAGAGGGAAGUGGAAUUCCCGGUGUAGUGGUGAAAUGCGUAGAUAUCGGGAGGAACACCAGUGGCGAAGGCGACUUCCUGGCCUGUUCUUGACGCUGAGGCGCGGAAGCUAGGGGAGCAAACGGG